GAUGAACGCUGGCGGCGUGCCUAAUACAUGCAAGUCGAGCGAACAGACGAGGAGCUUGCUCCUCUGACGUUAGCGGCGGACGGGUGUGUAACACGUGGAUAACCUACCUAUAAGACUGGGAUAACCUCGGGAAACCGGCGCUAAUACCGGAUAAUAUAUUGAACCGUAUGGUUCAAUAGUGAAAGACGGUUUUGCUGUCUCUUAUAGAUGGAUCCGCGCCGCAUUAGCUAGUUGGUAAGGUAACGGCUUACCAAGGCAACGAUGCGUAGACGACGUGAGAGGGUGAUAGGCCACACUGGAGCUGGGACACGGUCCUGAGUCCUGCGGGAGGCAGCAGAAGGGAAUCGUCCGCAAUGGGCGAAAACUUGACAGAGCAACGCCGCGUGAGUGGUGACGAUCUUCGGAUCGUAAAACUCUGUUAUUAGGGAAGAACAAAUGUGUAAGUAGCUAUACACGUCUUGACGGUACCUAAUCAGGAAGCCACGGCUAACUACGUG
rnacentral:rRNA from 1 species